ensembl:lncRNA
UAUUAUUAAUUCUUCUGGAAAUUUUUAAUACCAUAUGGAGAACAGGAGACAUACCAUCAUCUUGGAAGGAAGCUAUUGUUAUUCCCAUUCCCAAACCGGGCAAGGACCACUGUGAUCCAAAUAAUUAUCGGCCAAUAGCUCUGACCAGUUGUGUCUGUAAAACCAUGGAAAGAAUGGUAAAUGACCGUCUGGUGUGGACACUGGAGUCAAGGCGCAAGAUCAGUGAUUAUCAGUGUGGUUUUAGACGUGGAAAAAGUACUUUAGACCAUCUUAUCAGCAACCUACCUAUUUUCAUCUCAAACUUCCUUUCUAAUAGAAUUUUUUGUGUUCAAAUAGGAACCACUUUAUCACAUGAACAUAUACAAGAACUAGGUGUUCCACAAGGAAGCAUUCUUUCGGUUACACUUUUCAGUGUCAAAAUCAACAGUAUAAUCAAGGUUAUAGAACCUCAUAUUUUUCGUAUCUUGUAUGUCGAUGACUUGUGUAUAGGCUACAGAGGAAAAAAUAUGAACGUAAUUGAGCGGCAACUACAGUUAUGCAUAAACAAGAUAAAUGACUGGUCAAUUAAAAAUGGAUUUAAGUUCUCUAGAACAAAGACUGUGUGCAUGCACUUUUGUCUUCUCCGAUCUCAACAUCUUGAUCCAGAGCUACAUAUGGAGGGUGAACCUAUCAAGAUUGUUAAAGAACUCAAAUUUCUAGGUUUGAUGUUUGAUAAUAAACUCAACUUUAUUCCACAUAUGAGAGCCUUAAGGAAAAAAUGCUCCAAAACUAUGGAUAUUUUAAAAGUAUUAACUAAAACAAAAUGGGGUGCAGAUUCCAAUGUGCUCUUACGCCUCUACAGAGUUCUAAUACGAUCUCGAUUGGAUUAUGGAAGUAUAGUGUAUGGACUGACAAGGAUAUCUUAUACAAAAGUACUUGAUACAAUACAUCAUCAAGGAAUACGUUUGGCCUUAGGAGCCUUCAGGACUACUCCCAUACAAAGCCUCUAUAUAGAAGCUGGAGAAUCAUCCCUUCAAAACAGGCAUUUGAAACUGUCCUUACAAUAUGCGAUCAAACUCAAGGCAAAUUGAAAUAAUCCAGCUUAUCUUUCAGUAUUGAAACCAGAACGGCUUUACGGCUUUACUUACUUAUAUGAAGCUAGACCGAAAUAUAUUAGGCCUUUUGGUUUAUGGAUUAAACCACAUCUAGACUUAAAUAUCAACUUGGAUUGUAUUAAACGGCUCUAUUAUUGCCCUGUACCUCCCUGGACUCUGGAAAAGCCAACCAUUUUUUGGACUCUGAAUCAGCACAAAAAGACAGAAACUCAUCCAAUUGAAUACCAACAGAAAUUCUUAGAGUUAAGGUCUUCAUUUCCACUACAUAAAACUGCAUUCACGGAUGGAUCAAAGACCAAUAACAGUGUAUCAGCAGCAGCAGUGAUAGGAGAUCAACAAUAUGGCAUUUGAAUUCCGGAUCAAGGCUCUAUUUUUACAGCUGAGGCUCGAGCAUUACUUCUUGUUCUAGAAAAUAUUGAGAAGGGUCAAGAACGGGACUUUUUAAUUGCCUCUGACUCAAGAUCAUGUCUUCAAGCACUUGAAUCUCUAAAAACUGAUCAUCCCAUAAUUGUUGAAAUCUUAACCAAAUUAGAUCUUUUAAAGAAAGAUAACUUUAAUAUUAUUUUUUGCUGGGUUCCAAGUCACAUUGGACUUACUGGAAAUGAGAGAGCGGACACUGCUGCCAGGGAUGCACUUGACCUGGAAGUAUCUGACUGUCAAAUACCACCUUCUGAUUUUAAACCAGUAAUUAAGUUAUAUAUAACUAAUAAGUGGCAGAAAGAAUGGGAUGGAAAUAAAAAUAAUAAGCUGUAUGAAAUAAACCCUAGUAUAAAAAGAAGUAGCUUCUAUAAUUUUAAAUCAAGACAUGAUCAAGUUGUGUUUACUAGGUGUAGACUGGGGCAUUCAAGACUUACCCAUGGGUUUUUAUUAAUAGGCGAAGUUCCUCCUUUAUGUCUUUCAUGUAAAGUUCCUUUGACUAUUAAGCAUAUUUUGUUGAAUUGUAAUUUUUAUGAUGCUGCUAGAAAACACUUUUAUUCAGAAACAUGCUUGCAUGCAAUAUUUGAAAAUGUACCACCUAAAUGUAUUUUAGAUUUUCUAUCUUAUGUUAAGUUGAAAUGUUUUAUAUAAUGUAAAUCUUAUGGAUGAUACUGAACUUUUUUGCCAUGUAAAUAGCCAUGAUGCUAACAUGGCGUAAAAAAACUUAAUAAACAAACAAACUCUUUCACAGCUUUCAACAUUAACACCAUUAGAACAAUUAUUGACAAUUUCAAUUCGAAGAAGAGAUUGUCAAAUUUGGGGCAAGUAAUCAAAGAGAUGCACAGCGUUACCAUCACAUGUAAACCCAUGAUAGUAAUCAUGAUCACAAGCUCUUUGGAUUGACUUCCCCCACCUCGAAGGAAACCAGACUGAAAUUCCUAAGGAGACCUGUUAACCUCUCUGGUCUUCACAGGACAUAUCCUUACUCCACAGAAUGGCACAGAGAAUGCCUUCCAAUGCAUAUAUGCACCAAAAUGAACUCAAAAAAGACUUCUGAAUGGAUAUCAGUCCAUUGCUUAACUCCAUAUCAUACAUGUAACCCACACAUUUGAUUAUAAUGUUUCUAAUCACUUAUUGUGUAUGUCUAUUUAAAUAACUCUUGAAUAGCUUAAGGGAUCAUAUUAAUGUUUAGUAUGUGUGUGUUCGAAUCUUCUUGCUUGAAACGUUUCUGACCAUCAGUUAUUUGUCAAAUGUAUCAUAUUCUUGUUAUAGGAAUCAUGUCCAAAUUAUACCCUGCAAGAGCGGGAAAAUUCGGACCACGUGCUUGAUAAGAUAACAUAUGAUUUAUGAAUGGGUGGGACAAACAUCGCAACAUACCGAGAAAAGACAAUAUCUAAUUGGUCAAGACAACAUUUGAGGUGUGGCCAAAAGGCCAGUUUAAAUACUCAGGACACCAUCAAAUUUAGCUUUUUAGCUUUUGGGCUUUUAGCCUUUGAUUUUUAGCCUUUGCUUUUUAGCCUGCUUUUAGCUUUUGCUUUAGCUUUUAGCCUUUGCUUUUUAGCUUUUAGCUUUUGCUUUAGCUUUUAGCCUGCUUUUAGCUUUUGCUUUUAGUCAUGCUUUUAGUCAUCACUUUUAGCAUUCUUCGAGCGCCGUUCCAGCGUGCUUCGGCCUGCACGCCUGCUACUUAGCCACGAUGAGAAGAAACACCACCUAGUCUCAUCAAACUUUACUUCUAUUCUUUUACUUUAGUUUCUUUUCUUUUCCGUUUGAGAGUUCGUGUUCUGAGUUAAGUUUUGUAACACCGUGUCUCUGAGUCUGACCUCGCGUGCCCGUCUGAAACUUCAACCAGCCCACAACUCUGCAUCGUCAGCCAACGCCCAACCACGAGCUUCCCAAGACGUCACUUCAACGACUACUGAACUUCCAGCCAAUCAGCAACCUCGGGAAACCCCCUUUUCAGCAACACCAAAGGGAACCCCGUUACACAGGCAUCACAAGUAACGUACCUCCAGACUCUGAUCUGUACUGGUGUUAUCUAAUAUAAUUUUAAACUCAUUGAGGAACUCAAUGCGAGGGUUAAUUAAGUGACUGAUGGUUGUUCAUGUCUAUGCAAUUUCACAUAUUGCUGUAAACUUGGGAUUCCACAUUUUCAUUCUUUUAAACUCACCCUUUCCUAACUUUCUAUCCUCCUGCAACUUGUGUGAAUGUGUGAGUGCGUGUGCUUAUGUGUUAGAUUAGUUUAUGUCUUAGAUUUAUUUAAUAAAGGCUCAUUCAUAUUGAAAAGAGAAGUAUCUUGUGUUUUGUGCUCACAAGUUAACGUCUUAAACUGCCGAUCUUGUUACUGUGCUAAUUAAUAGUGUUUUCACUAUACUUUGGAUAUUAAUAUCCAGUACAGAUUUGAUGUUAAACGGCUCGUUCAGUGAAUUGCUGGCCGUUUCGGUGAUCAGCCGUGAAACAGUGAUUCUGUUCAAAUUCCCUUAAAAUCUUAAAUGAUUCCCUUUGAGCUAAAUUGACCUGUUUCCCUUACAGUAUUGUAUUGCAGUUUCACAGUAUUCCCAGUAAACUUCAUGGAAAUUAAUCAUCUAUGUCCUGGAGUUUCUUGGGAGUGUUUAAGCUGAAUGGAGCGUAGUCCAUGACAGUGAAAAGACGACAACGCAGCUAAUGAGGGACACAAG